ACUUCCGGCGAUGCCUAAAACAUUCGAUCUCUCUUAAGCUAGGUUUAGUUUGCUGUGUUUUUACUAUGUUUGUAUAUGAUCUUUUAGAAUCGUUUUGUAGCUGAUUGGAUUCGCCUCUCAGAUUGAAUUUCCUGUAGAGUAUUCAAUAUCUACGGGAUGAUUCUUUCAUCGAUUUUAUUCGUGAGGCGAUAGAUUAUUGCAGGGGCGUUGAGUCGCUUCGUCUAUGUUUAACCAGGCAUAGCGAAUAAGCUCGUGCUAUAUCCUAAUCAGUUAUCGUUUCUUUUUUAAAAAAGCUUAUUGAAGGAUCCUAUGAUGGCAUGAAAUCUUUGAGACCUGAUUUUUUAUUGAUGAAAAGC